rnacentral:lncRNA from 1 species
UUUUUUUAUUUAUACUUUGAAUUUCAUUUAGGUUUCAAUUUAGUCCUUUGCCUACUUAUUUUUUUAUUUUUAUUAUCGUUAUUUUAUUAUUUAUUUUAUUAUUUCUGGCACUUUUAUGUCAUUCACAUUUAUCCCUUUUAAUUGUGCAUCUUUUAUUUUUAUUUUGAAUUAUCAUGUUUAUUUUAUUAUCAAAUAUGAUAAUAUGAUUAUUGUUAUUAUUAUUACCAUUGAUUAAUGUUAUUAUUAUUAUCA